rnacentral:rRNA from 1 species
ACGGGAGGCAGCAGUGGGGAAUAUUGGACAAUGGGGGAAACCCUGAUCCAGCGACGCCGCGUGAGUGAAGAAGUAUUUCGGUAUGUAAAGCUCUAUCAGCAAGGAAGAAAAUGACGGUACUUGACUAAGAAGCCCCGGCUAACUACGUGCCAGCAGCCGCGGUAAUACGUAGGGGGCAAGCGUUAUCCGGAUUUACUGGGUGUAAAGGGAGCGUAGACGGCGAUGCAAGUCUGAUGUGAAAUGCGGGGGCUCAACCCCUGAACUGCAUUGGAAACUGUAUUGCUGGAGUGCCGGAGGGGUAAGCGGAAUUCCUAGUGUAGCGGUGAAAUGCGUAGAUAUUAGGAGGAACACCAGUGGCGAAGGCGGCUUACUGGACGGUAACUGACGUUGAGGCUCGAAAGCAUGGGGAGCAAACAGGAUUAGAUACCCUGGUA